UCAGCGGCGGACGGGUGAGUAACACGUGGGCAACCUGCCCGCAAGACCGGGAUAACUCCGGGAAACCGGAGCUAAUACCGGAUAACACCGAAGACCGCAUGGUCUUUGGUUGAAAGGCGGCCUUUGGCUGUCACUUGCGGAUGGGCCCGCGGCGCAUUAGCUAGUUGGUGAGGUAACGGCUCACCAAGGCGACGAUGCGUAGCCGGCCUGAGAGGGUGACCGGCCACACUGGGACUGAGACACGGCCCAGACUCCUACGGGAGGCAGCAGUAGGGAAUCUUCCGCAAUGGGCGAAAGCCUGACGGAGCGACGCCGCGUGAGCGAAGAAGGCCUUCGGGUCGUAAAGCUCUGUUGUGAGGGACGAAGGAGCGCCGUUCGAAGAGGGCGGCGCGGUGACGGUACCUCACGAGGAAGCCCCGGCUAACUACGUGCCAGCAGCCGCGGUAAUACGUAGGGGGCGAGCGUUGUCCGGAAUUAUUGGGCGUAAAGCGCGCGCAGGCGGUUCCUUAAGUCUGAUGU
rnacentral:rRNA from 1 species